rnacentral:rRNA from 1 species
CAGCCGCCGCGGGAAUACGAAGGGUGCAAGCGUUAAUCGGAAUUACUGGGCGUAAAGCGUGCGUAGGCGGUUUGUUAAGUCUGCUGUGAAAUCCCCGGGCUCAACCUGGGAAUGGCAGUGGAUACUGGCAAGCUAGAGUGUGUCAGAGGAUGGUGGAAUUCCCGGUGUAGCGGUGAAAUGCGUAGAGAUCGGGAGGAACAUCAGUGGCGAAGGCGGCCAUCUGGGACAACACUGACGCUGAGGCACGAAAGCGUGGGGAGCAAACAGGAUUAGAUACCCGUGUAGUCCCUGUCUCUUAUAA